UGCCAGAUAGCUCACUUGGUAAAGCAUCACGUUGCGAAGCAGAAGUGACUCUCACGUUGCGGGUUCGAUCCCCGCUUCGUAC